GAUGAACGCUGGCGGCGUGCCUAAUACAUGCCAGUCGAGCGAACAGACGAGGAGCUUUCUCCUUUGCCGUUAGCGGCGGACGGGUGAGUGACACGUGGAUAACAUACCUCUAUGACUGGGGUAACUUCGUGAAACCGGAGCUAAUACCGCAUAACAUGUCGAACCGCAUGGUUCAAGAGUGAUAGACGGUCUUCCCGACACUUAUAGAUGGAUUCGCGCCGCAUUAGCUAGUUGGUAAGGUAACGGCCUACCAAGGCAACGAUGCGUAGCCGACCUGAUAGGGUGAUCGGCCACACUGGAACUGAGACACGGUCCAGACUCCUACGGGAGGCAGCAGUGGGGAAUCUUCCGCAAUGGGCGAAAGCCUGACGGAGCAACGCCGCGUGGGUGAAGAAGGCCUUCGGAUCGUAAAACUCUUUUAUUAGGAAAGAACAACUGUGUGAGAAACUAUGCACGUCUUGACGGUACCUAAACAGAAAGCCACGGCUAACUACGUG
rnacentral:rRNA from 1 species